GUUAUUCCUCUAAAAUAUUUCCUUCAUUCAGAGUGUGGACGUGGUGAAGGGCGUAGAGAGGAAGCUGGAGGGGAGUCAGGUUCAGUUGGCAAGUGGCGUGAGUGAGCUUAAACAACAGUUGCAGAAGAUGGAGCAGCAAGUGGCGACGAUGGCGUCUGCUGUCAGUAAUCCCUCACCUGCGGCAAACAACGAAACACAUAUUCGCAAGCAGAGACUAAUACACAGUGAUUCAGGAGCAUCAAGGGACAGCAGAGGACCAUGAUGAUGGAGUUUCCGUACUUUUUUGUCAGAACGAACUUUAUGUGCCAAUAAUGCUCUGCUUUUAUCCAAAGAUGUUUAAGCUAUUUUCCUUCUUAUGAAGAAGGCAGAUGAAGCUUUGCCUUCCCCUCCUGAUGUAGUGAAAUAGUUGGUAUGGACCUCAAUGCCUUCUUGUAGAGCUACAUUCCAAACUUUAGAUAUGUAAAAAAUGUAGAAAUGUGAGCAUCAAGACCAUUUUCAUAGCAUAGUUCUACCUGGUACUGUACACCCAGAAGUUUGUACCUGUAAACCAUCGACAUCAUGUACAGGAAUUAUGUCACCACCAUUUUAAUGCACAGUUACUUGGAGUAAGGGAAGUACUGUGUUGUAAGUGCAGUAUACCAGCUCAAUUAAAUUGACUUAUUAAUAUUGUUAUUCAUUUAUGUGGAUUGAAGAGAAACUGGAAAGUUAACAUUAACAAAUUAUACAGAGUUCAGUCACAUGUCCUUCACAGGAUGAUAAACUGCUACUCUUUGUAUUAUGUGUUGACAAAAAAACCUUAAGUUCACUAACUAAUGUUUAUCAUGACUUGGUAAUUUUAUGGUAACACUGUACUGAACCCUAGAACAUUUAAUCUGCAUUGGUCAUUUCACCAUCAUCUGCUCAUGUCAGGGAGCCUGUGCAAGCAUCCAAGUCACGGCACAUCAACACACACACACACACACACACACACACACACAC
rnacentral:lncRNA from 1 species